rnacentral:rRNA from 1 species
AAUAUUGUACAAUGGGGGCAACCCUGAUCCAGCCAGCCCGCGUGUGUGAAGAAGGUCAUAGGUUUGUAAAGCACUUUAAGUUGAGAGACAGGGCUUUAGGCUUAUACCCUGAAGUAUUACCGAUACCAACAGAACAAGCACCUGCUAACUCUGUGCCAGCCGCCGCGGUAAUAAAGAGGGUGCAAUCGGUAAUCGGAAUUACUGGGCGUAAAGCGCGCGUAGGUGGUUCAGUAAGAUGGGUGUGAAAUCCCCGGGCUUAACCUGGGAACUGCUUUCAUAACUGCUGAGCUAGAGUACGGUAGAGGGUAGUGGAAUUUCCUGUGUAGCGGUGAAAUGCGUAGAUAUAGGAAGGAACACCAGUGGCGAAGGCGACUACCUGGGAUAAUACUGACGCUCAGACACGAAAGCGUGGGGAGCAAACAG